rnacentral:lncRNA from 15 species
GGUAAAGAUGGACCUCAAGGACCAACUGGAUCAGCUGGUGUCAAAGGAAAUAAGGGAUCCAAAGGAGCUUUGGGGCAGGAGGGAGUCGCUGGUCUCGAUGGGUCUAGUUGGACUAAGGGGAUCUGAGGGGCCAGCUGGACAAAAAGGCAAAUCUGGUGACAAGGGGAACACUGGGCCUCCUGGAAAUAAAGGGUCAAAGGGAGCUGAGGGCAGCAGAGGCAACCAAGGGCCACAGGGAUCAAAGGGCCCUCCAGGGAAACAGGUGGACAGGAGUUGUGUCUAAAGUAUAGUUUACUAUAACAUUGCAGCCCAUCUCACUUCUGUACAGUGUGACACAAAACAAUGCCAUCUGCAUCCUUUGAA